CACUUAGUUGCCCCUAGCCCCCAGUUCAUUUAACCAGUUUUUAUACAGUAAUUAUAUGAUCAAUGACCCUAGCACCUAGCACAGUGCCUAUUACAUAGUAGGUGCUUCAUAAAUGCUGGUUGAUUGAUAUCCUUCAUUAUCCUUUACCCUCCUCAAAAUGUUCUCUAACUUAUCUACAGUCUUUAUUAAAAAGGAUUAAAAUUCUUGAGAGGCAAUACUUCUUAAUUUUAAAUUAAUUUUUUAAUUAUCCACUCAACUCAGUCUAAACUGGUCAGUCCACAAAUUGAACAAAAAAAAGAGAGUAAGCAGGAAAAAAGUGCAAAGAAAAGGAGAGUUCAGCAAAAAAGACCCAAGGCUGGAAGAAGGAAGAAAGGAAGAAAGGGAGAGAGGGAAAAAGAGAAAGAGAGGAGGAGAGCAGAAGUCUCCUCCAAGUAUAUUGCAACUUCAUCAUUCAUCCCCUUCCCUAGACAUCCCAAGACAUCUGACAGACCUUCUGAAAUCUCUCCAUAUUAAGAGUCCCUGCUGGAAGGUACUGGAUCAAUACCAUCCCUUGCCAGUGCCAAGGGUAACAUGA
rnacentral:lncRNA from 1 species